rnacentral:tRNA from 1 species
GGCUCGGUGGUGUAGUUGGUUAUCACGUCAGUCUAACACACUGAAGGUCCCGAGUUCAAUCCUCGGCUGAGUCA